rnacentral:rRNA from 1 species
UACGUAGGGGGCGAGCGUUGUCCGGAUUUAUUGGGCGUAAAGAGCUCGUAGGCGGUUCGAUAAGUCGGAUGUGAAAUCUCCACGCUCAACGUGGAGGGGCCAUUCGAUGCUGUCGUGACUCGAGUCCGGUAGGGGAGUGUGGAAUUCCCGGUGUAGCGGUGAAAUGCGCAGAGAUCGGGAGGAACACCCGUAGCGAAGGCGGCACUCUGGGCCGGUACUGACGCUGAGGAGCGAAAGCGUGGGGAGCAAACAGG